rnacentral:rRNA from 1 species
GACGAACGCUGGCGGCGUGCUUAACACAUGCAAGUCGAACGGAAAGGCCCUGCUUUUGUGUUCUGCCCGUGUGGCGAACGAGUGAGUAACACACGAGUAACCAGCCCUUCACUUUGAGGUAACCUAAAGAAACAGAGGAUUAUUACUAAUAGGUACUCCUGCUCCUCGGUGGGGGGUAGAGAGGUACGGCGGUCUGGGAUGGUCUCGCGGCUUAUCCGCUGGGUGGUGGGGUAGUGUCUUUACAAGGCUUUGAAGGGUAGCCGGCCUGGGAGGGUGACCGGCCACAGUGGGACUGAGGUACGGCCCAUACUGCUACUGGCGGCAGAAGUGGGAAAUAUUGCGAGAUGGGCGGAGUCCUGAUGCAGGAACGCCGGGUGCGGGAUGACGGCCUUCGGGUAGGAAACCGCUUUCUCCUGUUAGGAAGCGUGAGUGACGGUAAUGGGUAAAGAAGCCACGGCUAACUACGUG